rnacentral:snRNA from 1 species
AUCGCUUCUUGGCUCACCGAGCUUAGAUUAAGUGUAGUAUCUGUUCUUCUCAGGUUAGUACCCUGUGACGGAAACGAUUCGUUUC